GUGCACAUUUCAUUGUCUUUUUUCUUUAUGUCAUGAGAAAAGAUAUUUCUGAUGUGCUAAAUAAACCUUUGGAGGUAAAUUAGCAGCAUGACUUAAUUUAGCCAUUGCUGUCAGUCACCUUCAUACAAGA
rnacentral:snoRNA from 1 species